rnacentral:rRNA from 1 species
UAAGGAAUAUUGGACAAUGGAGGCAACUCUGAUCCAGCCAUGCCGCGUGAAGGAAUAAGGCCCUAUGGGUUGUAAACUUCUUUUAGACGGGACAAAACCCCUUUACGUGUAAAGGGUUGAUGGUACUGUCAGAAUAAGCAUCGGCUAACUACGUGCCAGCAGCCGCGGUAAUACGUAGGGGGCAAGCGUUGUCCGGAUUUACUGGGUGUAAAGGGUGCUCAGGCGGAUUUGUAAGUCAGAGGUGAAAUCUUACAGCUUAACUGUGAAACUGCCUUUGNUACUGCAAGCCUAGAGUAUGGAAGAGAGUGAUGGAAUAUCUGGUGUAGCAGUGAAAUGCGUAGAUAUCAGAUAGAACACCAAUGGCGAAGGCAGUCACUUGGUCCAUUACUGACGCUAAAGCACGAAAGCGUGGGUAGCAAACA